GACGAACGCUGGCGGCGUGCUUAACACAUGCAAGCCGAACGAAGUGGUGAACGGGUGAGUAAUACGUGGGUAACCAGCCUUCUUUUUUGGGAUAAGCCUUGGAAACGGGGUCUAAUACCGAAGACAGGCGGAUGGGCUGGCGGCCUAUCAGCUUGUUGGUGGGGUGAGGGCCAACCAAGGCGGGGACGGGUAGCCGGCCUGAGAGGGGGACCGGCAAAAGUGGAACAGAGAAAGGGGCCAGGAUCAUACUGGAGGCAGCAGUGGGGGAUAAUGCACAAUGGCAGAAAACCUGAUGCAGCGACGCCGCGUGGGGGAUAAAGGCUUUCGAGUUGUAAACCUCUUUCGCUAGCGAACGGGUAGGUGGAGAAGAAGCGCCGGCUAACUGCGUGCCAGCAGCCGCGGUAAUAC
rnacentral:rRNA from 1 species